rnacentral:rRNA from 1 species
GAUGAACGCUGGCGGCGUGCCUAAUACAUGCAAGUCGAGCGAACAGAUGAGGAGCUUGCUCCUCUGACGUUAGCGGCGGACGGGUGAGUAACACGUGGAUAACCUACCUAUAAGACUGGGAUAACUUCGGGAAACCGGAGCUAAUACCGGAUAAUAUAUUGAACCGCAUGGUUCAAUAGUGAAAGACGGUUUUGCUGUCACUUAUAGAUGGAUCCGCGCCGCAUUAGCUAGUUGGUAAGGUAACGGCUUACCAAGGCGACGAUGCGUAGCCGACCUGAGAGGGUGAUCGGCCACACUGGAACUGAGACACGGUCCAGACUCCUACGGGAGGCAGCAGUAGGGAAUCUUCCGCAAUGGGCGAAAGCUUGACGGAGCAACGCCGCGUGAAUGAUGAAGGUCUUCGGAUCGUAAAACUCUGUUAUUAGGGAAGAACAAAUGUGUAAGUAACUAUGCACGUCUUGACGGUACCUAAUCAGAAAGCCACGGCUAACUACGUG